rnacentral:lncRNA from 1 species
CGGGCGUGAGCGCGGGCCGGCGAGCGACGUGCGGCGAGCGGCGGCGGCGUGCGGCGGCGGCGGGCGAGCGGGCGCUGGGAAGUCAAAUGACCCCCAGCGCCCGCUCGGGCGUUUUAUUAAGUUCGGCCUCUUUGCCGAGGGCCUAGAUCCAGGGCCCUCGGCAAAGAGAUUUUUAUUUUUUUUUAUUAAUUUCUUUGCCGAGGGCUUGACCUAUGGCCCUCGGCAAAGAUUAUUUUAAAUAUUUUUUCCCCGAGUUAGUUUUUGCCGAGGGC